CGCGGAAUAUCAUCAUACCUUACGAAUUUGGAAUGUUAUUGUGACCGUUCCUUUGUAACUUGUGUCCAAGGGGAUGGACUGAUUCUAUCAACUACUUCCGGCAGCACAGCAUACUCAUUGGCUGCUGGGGGAUCAAUGGUUCAUCCUCAGGUUCCCGGCAUUCUAUUUACCCCUAUAUGCCCGCAUUCUUUGUCUUUCCGACCCUUGAUAUUUCCAGAGUAUGUAACAAUACGUAUCCAAGUACCCUUCAAUAGCAGGGGGCAUGCAUGGGCGUCUUUUGACGGGAAGGACAGGAAGCAAUUGGCAGCAGGAGAUGCACUUGUGUGCAGCAUGGCGCCUUGGCCAGUGCCUACAGCGUGCCAGGUAGACUCCACAAAUGACUUCUUGCGCAGCAUUCACGAGGGCCUUCACUGGAAUCUAAGAAAGACGCAGUCUUUCGAUGGACCUCGAGAAGCAAUGACCGAAUCAUAGAACAGCUUCUUUAUAUUACAACUUGUUGGACAGGAAGCAGUUGAUGUGGUUGGUAUUUACAUUCUGCAACAUAUCUCAGUUCUGCCCCAGAAAUGAAUAGAUGUAGUAAGGGGGAAAAAUGAGAAAGAAAAGUAAAGUAAUUUUUCUUUCAUAUUAUUUAUGGUUUUAGCUGAAGGCUGAAGCUGCUGAUGAGAGCCCAUAUCAUAAUAAGUUUGUUUGCUUGAAUCAGUGGUGACAAAAUUUUUGAAUAGUAAGCAAUAGAUCAUUAUAAUCUUACUAUGUUUUUG
rnacentral:misc_RNA from 1 species